AAUACGUUCCCGGUCCUUGUACACACCGCCCGUCACACCACGAAAGUCGGCAACACCCGAAGCCGGUGGCCUAACCGUAAGGAAGGAGCCGUCGAAGGUGGGGUCGGUGAUUGGGGUG
rnacentral:rRNA from 1 species